GACAGAGGUGCCGAGCGUUAGGCGGAAUCACUGGGCUUAAAGCGUGUGUAGGCGGACUUCUAAGUACCUUGUGAAAUCCCACGGCUCAACCGUGGAACUGCUCGGUAUACUGGUUGUCUUGAGCCACUUAGGGGCAGUCGGAACAGACGGUGGAGCGGUGAAAUGCGUAGAUAUCAUCAGGAACACCGGAGGCGAAGGCGGCCCACUGGGUCUUUUCUGACGCUGAGGGACGAAAGCUAGGGGAGCGAACGGG
rnacentral:rRNA from 1 species